ACGCCGGCCGUUUGAGUCGCUACACACCCGAAUUCGCAAUUGAGCGCGUCGACCACUGUGAGUUGGCAAGGCGAGACGAUGAAACAAAAGAUGGCAGAAAGAGCAGAGAACCGAGAGAAAGAGAGUAAAUAGAGAGGUCUUCUUCGUCUUUGUGCUUGCGUGCGUCUGUGUGCCCUCCGCG
ensembl:ncRNA W06B11.7 ncRNA